AGGGCACUACCAGGGGUGGAUCCUGCGGCUCAAUUUGACUCAACACGGGAAAGCUCACCUGGUCCGGACACUGGAAGGAUUGACAGAUUAAGAGCUCUUUCUUGAUUCAGUGGGUGGUGGUGCAUGGCCGUUCUUAGUUGGUGGAGCGAUUUGUCUGGUUAAUUCCGAUAACGAACGAGACUCUAGCCUACUAAAUAGGUGUUCCGAUCCCAUCAGUCGGACGCUCUUCUUAGAGGGACAAGCGGCGUUUAGCCGCACGAGACAGAGCAAUAACAGGUCUGUGAUGCCCUUAGAUGUCCGGGGCCGCACGCGCGCUACACUGAAGGAACCAGCGUGUGUCCCUGUCCGGCAGGACUGGGUAAUCCGUUGAACCUCCUUCGUGAUAGGGAUAGGGGCUUGUAAUUGUUCCCCUUGAACGAGGAAUUCCCAGUAAGCGUGAAUCAUCAGUUCACGUUGAUUACGUCCCUGGCCUUUGUACACACCGCCCGUCGCUACUACUGAUUGGAUGAUUUAGUGAGG
rnacentral:rRNA from 1 species